ACUAAGCAUAUCAAUAAGCGGAGGAGAGAAAACCAACCCGGCAUUGCCUCAGUAACGGCGAGUGAAGCGGCAACAGCUCAAAUUUGAAAACCUCUUCCUCGCGUUGAGGUAUUGUAAUUUGCAGAGGAUGUCUUUGGUGCGACACCUAGCUAAGUCCAUUGGAACAUGGCGUCACAGAGGGUGAUAAUCCCGUAUGUGCUAGGCUGUCAAUCCUUCAGAAGACUCCUUCGACGAGUCGAGUUGUUUGGGAAUGCAGCUCUAAAUGGGUGGUAAAUGCCAUCUAAGGAUAAAUACCGGCCAGAGACCGAUAGCGCACAAGUAGAGUGAUCGAAAGAUGAAAAGCACUUUGAAAAGAGAGUUAAAAAGUACGUGAAAUUGUUGAAAGGGAAGCGCUUGCAGCCAGACUUGGCUGGGGUGAUCAACCGUGUUUCGGUGCGGUGCACUCGCCUCCCGCCAGGCCAGCAUCAGUUCGGGCGGUCGGAUAAAGGCCCCGGGAACGUAGCUCCCUUUGGAGUGUUAUAGCCCGGGGCGUCAUGCGGCCAGCCUGGACUGAGGCCCGCGCUCUGCUAGGAUGCUGGCAUAAUGGUUGUCAGCGACCCGUCUUGAAACACGGACCAAGGAGUCGACCAAUUUUGCGAGUGUUUGGGUGUCAAACCCACACGCGUAAUGAAAGUGAACGGAGGUGAGAAGCUUCGGGUGCAUCAUCGACCGAUCCUGAUGUCUUCGGAUGGAUUUGAGUAAGAGCACAGUUGGUCGGACCCGAAAGAUGGUGAUCUAUACUUGAAUAGGGUGAAGCCAGAGGAAACUCUGGUGGAGGCUCGCAGCGGUUCUGACGUGCAAAUCGAUCGUCGAAAUUUGAGCUAUAGGGCGAAGACUACAUCG
rnacentral:rRNA from 1 species